AUGACUAUGCUCUUCUCAAGUUAUUCUUUCAGUACCUUUCUUCUAUGUUUCUCCCAAGCACUGCACAUCCGGGAUAUAAUCCGGACAGGACCCUUGGGCGGACAAGCUUAUGAUACCACCCGGACAGGCGCCCUCGAGGCUAUACUUACCCGGGGUCAUAGCUAUGUUACCACCUGGACAGGUGCCCUCGAGGCUAUAUUUACCCGGGGUCAUUGUCGGACAGAGCUAGCUCCUAGUGAAAAAGCCCUCGGAGGAGGGAAAUCCAAGCCCUUUUCGGCAAUGAUCAGUAUCUCACCGUUGCUCUCGUCGCCCCUAAAGAGUAUGUCAAGGCUGCAUAGUCAUGGAGCUCCGACUUCCUAA